rnacentral:lncRNA from 1 species
AGAGAUGCUCAGAGGAGAGAUCGAGAUAGAGAGAGGCGAGCCAGAAGGUGGUCCCGGUCUAGAUCUUGCUCUCGAUCGCCAUCAAGAUCAAGAACGAAGAGUAAGAGUUCAUCAUUUGGUAGAAACGAAAGAGAUACUUACUCUCCCCGGUGGAGGGAAAAAUGGACAAAUGAUGGUUGGAGGUGUCCCAGAGGGAACGACCGGUACCGGAGGAAUGAUUCAGAGAAACAGAAUGAAAACACAA